GAAAAAAAUAACCUCCCGCUUUCUGCUAAGAUCUAGCCAAUUCAGAUUCUACAGGUUUGCUUAAAAAGGAAAAACAAGAAACCCUCAAAAAAAAUCCCCGGCCUUUGUAAAUUUCCCCUCUCUUUACACUUACACUUCCGUUAGCAUAUAACUUCCUUCUCCAUUUCCUGUUUUUUCAUAAGGCUCUGCUGGUGUAUAGUCCUGCUUUCUUUUUCAUUUUUUUACUUUUGCUGAUGUCUCUUCUUAGUGUUCCUUUCAUUUCCUUGUGCAUCCCUUCCUCCUGGACUUCAGAAAACAAAUAGAAUCCAAGUCUGGAGAUGGAAGAGGAGACUGCCUCUACAAAUCAUCUUUCUCUGCAGAAAGUUUCUGCUGCCCCAACCUGCUUCUCUCUACUGAGGCCUGGAGCAGAGGCCAGGAGCCACAGGAGCACUGUGGAGGAUCUGAUUUCUGUGUCUGUCUGAGAAAGUGAUGAGAGAGAUACAGUUCUAAGUGAAGGAGAUCCUGAUACUUUAUGGAAAUCUGUAAAGAUUCUGGGAACCCAUCAAAGGUAAUAUCAACUACGGAUUACGAGGU
rnacentral:lncRNA from 1 species